GAUGAACGCUGGCGGCGUGCCUAAUACAUGCAAGUCGAGCGAACGGACGAGAAGCUUGCUUCUCUGAUGUUAGCGGCGGACGGGUGAGUAACACGUGGAUAACCUACCUAUAUGACUGGGAUAACUUCGGGAAACCGUAGCUAACACCGGAUAAUAUUUUGAACCGCAUGGUUCAAAAGUGAAAGACGGUCUUGCUGUCACUUAUAGAUGGAUCCGCGCUGCAUUAGCUAGUUGGUAAGGUAACGGCUUACCAAGGCAACGAUGCAUAGCCGACCUGAGAGGGUGAUCGGCCACACUGGGACUGAGACACGGUCCAGACUCCUACGGGAGGCAGCAGUAGGGAAUCUUCCGCAAUGGGCGAAAGCCUGACGGAGCAACGCCGAGUGAGUGAUGAAGGUCUUCGGGUCGUGAAACUCUGUUAUUAGGGAAGAACAUAUGUGUAAGUAACUGUGCACAUCUUGACGGUACCUAAGCAGAAAGCCACGGCUAACUACGUG
rnacentral:rRNA from 1 species